rnacentral:rRNA from 1 species
AUACGUAGGGGGCGAGCGUUGUCCGGAAUGAUUGGGCGUAAAGGGCGCGUAGGCGGCGCGGUAAGUCUGGAGUGAAAGUCCUGCUUUCAAGGUGGGAAUUGCUUUGGAUACUGCCGCGCUUGAGUGCAGGAGAGGUUAUCGGAAUUCCCGGUGUAGCGGUGAAAUGCGUAGAGAUCGGGAGGAACACCAGUGGCGAAGGCGGGUAACUGGACUGCAACUGACGCUGAGGCGCGAAAGUGUGGGGAGCAAACAGGAUUAGAUACCCUGGUAGUCCACACUGUAAACGAUGAAUGCUAGGUGUAAGAGGUAUCGACCCCUUUUGUGCCGGAGUCAACACAAUAAGCAUUCCGCCUGGGGAGUACGGCCGCAAGGUUGAAACUUAAAGGAAUUGGCGGAG